GACGAACGCUGGCGGCGUGCUUAACACAUGCAAGUCGAACGGAAAGGCCCUGCUUUUGUGGGGUGCUCGAGUGGCGAACGGGUGAGUAACACGUGAGUAACCUGCCCUUGACUUUGGGAUAACUUCAGGAAACUGGGGCUAAUACCGGAUAGGAGCUCCUGCUGCAUGGUGGGGGUUGGAAAGUUUCGGCGGUUGGGGAUGGACUCGCGGCUUAUCAGCUUGUUGGUGGGGUAGUGGCUUACCAAGGCUUUGACGGGUAGCCGGCCUGAGAGGGUGACCGGCCACAUUGGGACUGAGAUACAGCCCAGACUCCUACGGGAGGCAGCAGUGGGGAAUAUUGCACAAUGGGCGGAAGCCUGAUGCAGCAACUCCGCGUGCGGGAUGACGGCCUUCGGGUUGUAAACCGCUUUCGCCUGUGACGAAGCGUGAGUGACGGUAAUGGGUAAAGAAGCACCGGCUAACUACGUG
rnacentral:rRNA from 1 species